rnacentral:miRNA from 1 species
AGCCUGUUAGCGCAGUUGGCUCUGGCUGGCUUCAGGAGCUGCUCGCUGCUGUGGCACCCGCCAUGUUUCUUGCACCACAGCAGCGAGCAGCUCCUGAAGCCAGCCAGAGCCAACUGCGCUAACAGGCU